rnacentral:rRNA from 1 species
CUGGCUCAGGAUGAACGCUAGCUACAGGCUUAACACAUGCAAGUCGAGGGGCAGCAUGAAGUCAGCUUGCUGACUUGAUGGCGACCGGCGCACGGGUGCGUAACACGUAUCCAAUCUACCCAUGGCUCAGGGAUAGCCUUUCGAAAGAAAGAUUAAUACCUGAUGGCCUUACAUGGAGACAUCUCCUAGUAAGUAAAGAUUUAUCGGCGAUGGAUGAGGAUGCGUCUGAUUAGAUAGUAGGCGGGGUAACGGCCCACCUAGUCGACGAUCAGUAGGGGUUCUGAGAGGAAGGUCCCCCACAUUGGAACUGAGACACGGUCCAAACUCCUACGGGAGGCAGCAGUGAGGAAUAUUGGUCAAUGGACGAGAGUCUGAACCAGCCAAGUAGCGUGAAGGACGACUGCCCUAUGGGUUGUAAACUUCUUUUGUUUGGGAAUAAAGUGGGCCACGUGUGGCCUUUUGUAUGUACCAUACGAAUAAGCAUCGGCUAAUUCCGUGCCAGCAGCUGC